rnacentral:lncRNA from 1 species
GCAGGCGGUGUAGGGCUCCAGGCAGGCGGCGAAGGCCAUGACGUGCGCUAUGAAGGUCUGCUCCUGCACGCCGUGAACCAGGUGCGCCUGCGGGCCGCGCGCGAACACCGCCACGUCCUCGCCUGCGUGGGUCUCUUCGUCCAGGGGCACUGCUGACUGCUGCCGAUACUCGGGGCUCCCUGGUUGGAGGGUUCAGUUCCGGCCUACCGAAGAUGGAGCUCCCUCGCAGGGGGUAGCCUCCGAAGGAGAAGACGUGGGAGUGGUCGGCAGUGACGAGGCUCAGCGUGUCCUCCUCGCUGGUGAGCUGGCCCGCCCUCUCAAUGGCGUCGUCGAACAUGAUCGUCUCAGUCAGUGCCCGCCCUUGGCCUGGGGGUCGCACGUCAAUGUCCAUGUUGGAGAUGAGCUGCGUAGCGAUGUCCUGGCACCCCUCCUGGCGGGCGGAGGCAGGCACGUCGGCGUCCGAGUACCAGUUGCGGUUCACCGUGUGGGCGUAGGUGCCGGCUGGCGAGGCGUGCUGCACUCGUGUGGUGGUUACCACUCCCACUGACUUCCCUAAGGGUGUCAGAGGUCAGUAUAUGUGACCAACGUCUGUGACCUGGCCGUGACCCAGCAGCGGGCCCCAGCUCACCUGCUUUCUUGGCCCGAUUCAUCACGGAGAUGACCUCGUUGCCGCGUGUCGU